UACGGAGGGAGCUAGCGUUAUUCGGAAUUACUGGGCGUAAAGCGAGUGUAGGCGGUGUGGUAAGUCGGAUGUGAAAGCCCCGGGCUCAACCCGGGAAGUGCACUCGAUACUGCCACGCUAGAGUAUCGGAGAGGUUGGUGGAAUUCUCGGUGUAGAGGUGAAAUUCGUAGAUAUCGAGAGGAACACCGGUGGCGAAGGCGGCCAACUGGACGAAUACUGACGCUGAGACUCGAAAGCGUGGGGAGCAAACAGG
rnacentral:rRNA from 1 species